AGCGAACGCUGGCGGCAGGCUUAACACAUGCAAGUCGAGCGGGCAUCUUCGGGUGUCAGCGGCGGACGGGUGAGUAACGCGUGGGAACGUGCCUUCUGGUUCGGAAUAACUCGGGGAAACUUGAGCUAAUACCGGAUACGCCCUUUUGGGGAAAGGUUUACUGCCGGAAGAUCGGCCCGCGUCUGAUUAGCUAGUUGGUGGGGUAACGGCCUGCCAAGGCGACGAUCAGUAGCUGGUCUGAGAGGAUGAUCAGCCACACUGGGACUGAGACACGGCCCAGACUCCUACGGGAGGCAGCAGUGGGGAAUAUUGGACAAUGGGGGCAACCCUGAUCCAGCCAUGCCGCGUGAGUGAUGAAGGCCUUAGGGUUGUAAAGCUCUUUUAUCCGGGACGAUAAUGACGGUACCGGAGGAACAAGCCCCGGCUAACUUCGUGCCAGCAGCCGCCGUAA
rnacentral:rRNA from 1 species